rnacentral:rRNA from 1 species
GACAGAGGUGCCGAGCGUUAGGCGGAAUCACUGGGCUUAAAGCGUGUGUAGGCGGGCGGGCAAGUACCUUGUGAAAUCCCACGGCUCAACCGUGGAACGGCUGGGUAUACUGCCUGUCUUGAGCCAACUAGGGGCGAGCGGAACAGACGGUGGAGCGGUGAAAUGCGUAGAUAUCGUCUGGAACGCCAAAGGUGAAAACAGCUCGCUGGGGUUGUGCUGACGCUGAGACGCGAAAGCGUGGGGAGCAAACAGG